rnacentral:rRNA from 1 species
UACAGAGGGUGCAAACGUUGCUCGGAAUUAUUGGGCGUAAAGCGCGUGUAGGCGGCUUGUUAAGUCGGUUGUGAAAACCCAUGGCUCAACCAUGGAAGCGCGUCCGAAACUGGCAAGCUGGAGUCCCGACGAGGGUGGCGGAAUUCCCAGUGUAGAGGUGAAAUUCGUAGAUAUUGGGGAGGAACACCGGUGGCGAAGGCGGCCACCUGGGAGGGUACUGACGCUGAGACGCGAAAGCGUGGGGAGCAAACAGGG